rnacentral:rRNA from 1 species
UACGGGGGGAGCAAGCGUUGUUCGGAUUUACUGGGCGUAAAGGGCGCGUAGGCGGUCGUGACAAGUCACUUGUGAAAUCUCCGGGCUUAACUCGGAACGGUCAAGUGAUACUGUCGGACUAGAGUACAGAAGGGGCAACUGGAAUUCUCGGUGUAGCGGUGAAGAUGCGUAGAUAUCGAGAGGAACACCUGCGGCGAAGGCGGGUUGCUGGGCUGAUACUGACGCUGAGGCGCGAAAGCCAGGGGAGGCGAACGGG